rnacentral:rRNA from 1 species
GACGAACCGUGCGAACGUUAUUCGGAAUCACUGGGCUUAAAGCGCGUGUAGGCGGGACGGCACGUCCGGCGCUGAAAUCCCCCGGCUCAACCGGGGAAGGCGGCGAGUACGACCGCCCGCUGGAGGGACGUAGGGGGACUGGAACUUCCGGUGGAGCGGUGAAAUGCGUUGAGAUCGGAAGGAACGCCCGUGGCGAAAGCGAGCUCCUGGACGUUCACGUGACGCUGAGACGCGAAAGCCAGGGGAGCGAACGGGAUUA